rnacentral:snRNA from 1 species
ACUGCUCCCAGUUCUUGCUUUCCUGCCUUGCUCUUGUCAGUUUAAUAUCUGAUAUGUUCUCUAUCUGAGAACUUUAUAUUAAAUGGAUUUUUGGAACAGGGAGAUGGAUUAGGAGCUUGCUCUGUCCACUCCACGCAUCAGCCUGGUAUUGCAGUACUUCCGGGUAUGGUGUCCCUCCC